GAUGAACGCUGGCGGCGUGCCUAAUACAUGCAGGUCGAGCGAACGGACGAGAAGCUUGCUUCUCUGAUGUUAGCGGCGGACGGGUGAGUAACACGUGGAUAACCUACCUAUAAGACUGGGAUAACUUCGGGAAACCGGAGCUAAUACCGGAUAAUAUUUUGAACCGCAUGGUUCAAAAGUGAAAGACGGUCUUGCUGUCACUUAUAGAUGGAUCCGCGCUGCAUUAGCUAGUUGGUAAGGUAACGGCUUACCAAGGCAACGAUGCAUAGCCGACCUGAGAGGGUGAUCGCCCACACUGGAACUGAGACACGGUCCAGACUCCUACGAGAGGCAGCAGUAGGGAAUGUUCCGCAAUGGGCGAAAGCAUGACGGAGCAACGCCGCGUGAGUGAUGAAGGUCUUCGGAUCGUAAAACUCUGUUAUUAGGGAAGAACAUAUGUGUAAGUAGCUGUGCACAUCUUGACGGUACCUAGUCAGAAAGCCACGGCUAACUACGUG
rnacentral:rRNA from 1 species